CGACACCUAUUUUGCCUUCUCCGCAUCGCUUUCUCGGCGAGGGAUGUCUCAUCUGCUCCUGGGUCUGCAAAAUAUGCCUCUGAUCCCUGUCCGGAUCUCUCGGCGAAUUGAUUUCCUCGAUUCAUUAUGAUCUAGUUCAAUCAAAUUCAGUCAUCAGUUGGCUAGAGCACUGGACAUCCUCGCAUUUCUGGAAAUCACUUCCUCAGCCAAAGAAGUAUGCUGAUGUGAAAUAUCUGGAAAAUUGCUGCAGAAAGUGUAUCAAUCAAACUAGUAUCACGUGUUCAUCGGAUCUGAAGGUUGCUGUGAUAACUGAACCAGAAAGGCAUAAAUGCAACGUGAGGAAAAUAUACAACCAUCCUUCUGAUCCUGUGGUGAAGUGACAAGCACACUGUUUGGUGCUCCACAACAGAACACAGCAGCAGUGGGUCUAAGAAUGCAGUAAUUGAUGACAAUUUUGCAUCAAACUGUAAAUAUUAGAACUUAGAAGAUAUCUGCAAUGGAAAUUAAGCUUGAUAGAUGACCAGGGUCCAAAUUAGUGACAAGUUUUAAAGAUUCUGAAUUAAGCUUGACAGAUGAAGUUUCCUUUCAGAUUCUGAAACAUUUACAGAGAACGGCUUGCAGAAAAUAAGGUUGCCAAGCUAUAUGGCAACUACUGAAUUAGCUCAGGCACAGCUUAAGAGCUUAAGAGAACAAGUUUUUUUACCGACGUUGGGAUCCUAUCAAACUGAAAGAAACAGUAUCAUCAGUCAGCAUUUUCUGCUUUCUUCUGUGAAUGGAAAACACUUACAAUAUUCUCUCACAUACAAGCUGAGCCAAGCAAGCCUCAAUGGUGGGAUAAGAAAUGCCAGAUUCUUCUUAUCUUAAAGAGAUGGUAGUGUUGCACGGCGACGAAUCUUGAGGGCCCAUUUGGAUAGGGCUAGAUCCCGUCGGGCUGCGGAGAAAAACCCACAUGGUCUGGAUUGGCUGUUUGGGUGAAUGGAAGGCCCAGUCCCAGCAGCUGGAAGUAAAAUACCUGAUGGGAAGGCCCAAUCUUCGUUUUAUGUUUUUCUCGUGUGCUUCUGAGGGAUGGAAGCUGGAGAUGAUGCCCUUCAUCUCUUCCUUGGACCUGCUCCAUCCAUUAAGUAUCACAUUUCCGACAUACUUGAUCAUUGUCAUCCCUCCAUCCGCUUUCCCACUAUGGUGCGAGGUUCUUAUCAGAGCAUUGUACGUGGAGGCUUUGGGAGUGGAAAGUGGAAACAUGAGAUUCGUUUUGCACGCCUGCUCUUAAUUGAGUUUCCAAUCCAUACUGGAGGUAGAAAUGCAUCCCUUAAAUGCAAAAUAGAUUUUGUGCUAACUAAACCCGUUGCUACUAAUAUCUAAUCCCCCAUACUCUUCUUGACAGGAAAAGAAAUCUUGAUUGGUUAGUGACGGCUUAAUAAUAUUUUUUUUUACCUGCUGGUCGUCCAUAUCGAUCGAGUUCUAUAAAUAUAUAUGAAAUAUGUGAAAUGCAAUAUUGGGUUGGAUGUUUAUGGUUCUUUUCUUUUAUUUAUCAAAGUUACAGAGAAAGCGAUUCAAAUGGAAUGGAGGCAGCGAUAUUCUCAGAAUGUGACUUAAAGUUUUCCACAGAGCAAUAUUUUGUCUGUUGGCUACAGUCUCACUCUUCACUUUUUGUGUUGAGGUGUACAGUUAUGCCGUGAUCCUUAUCCCACUUGAUUAUUGCUGGUGUGUGCCAUCCUACUGUAUUUUCUUUUUUCUUACGCUGGAGGACAUGAUAUUGCCGGUACGCACAUCUUCAGUUCCUUUUUUGAGUCUGGCAUGGUUUAUGCAAUAGAGCUGUGCACCAGUCCUCCUCGAAACAUCAAACAUUGCAUUCUCCCAUCAUUCACAAACAUCUGGUCUCUUUUCCACUUUAUUUUGUGCUGAUCCUUUUGCAGACUAGUCUGGUGGUGUGAUUUCUGGAAGAGAUUCUUUUCAGAUGCUU